rnacentral:lncRNA from 1 species
UCGCACAUAUUAUUGAGACCAACUAGCAACAUAGAAAGCACAAUAGUGUACCAACAAUGGCAGCCAAAAUAUUUUGCCUCCUUAUGCUCCUUGGUCUUUCUGCAAGUGCUGCUACGGCGACCAUUUUCCCGCAAUGCUCGCAAGCUCCUAUAGCUUCCCUUCUUCCCCCGUACCUCUCACCAGCGGUGUCUUCGGUAUGUGAAAACCCAAUUCUUCAACCCUACAGGAUCCAACAGGCAAUCGCAGCUGGCAUCUUACCUUUAUCACCCUUGUUCCUCCAACAAUCAUCAGCCCUAUUACAACAGUUACCUUUGGUGCAUUUAUUGGCACAAAACAUCAGGGCACAACAACUACAACAACUUGUGCUAGCAAACCUUGCUGCCUACUCUCAGCAACAGCAGUUUCUUCCAUUCAACCAACUAGGUUCAUUGAACUCUGCUUCUUAUUUGCAACAACAACAACUACCAUUCAGCCAGCUACCUGCUGCCUACCCCCAGCAAUUUCUUCCAUUCAACCAACUAGCAGCAUUGAACUCUCCUGCUUAUUUACAGCAGCAACAACUACUACCAUUCAGCCAGCUAGCUGGUGUGAGCCCUGCUACCUUCUUGACACAACCACAGUUGUUGCCGUUCUACCAGCACGUUGCGCCUAACGCUGGCACCCUCUUACAACUGCAACAAUUGCUGCCAUUCAACCAACUUGCUUUGACAAACCCAGCAGUGUUCUACCAACAACCCAUCAUUGGUGGUGCCCUCUUUUAGAUUUCUUAUGAGUUAUAGUUCAAUAAUAAAGUUUUUUAUCUGAUGUUUGUGGCUUCCCAGAAAUAAGAAAGUACAUUUCUAGAUUCUUAUGUGCUUCUAGUCUUCAAAUGUGGUUGAUAGUUAUUGUUGGGGACUUGUUCUCAAAUGCUAAGAGUUAAGAACAAGGCAACAUAAAAAUGUUAAAUGCUAAAGUCCUUCGUCCUUCGAAGCAUUAUUUCCCUUAGGAUAUAAUGAAUUUCGGACGAAGGCUAUGAAGGACAUACCUUCAUAAGCACAACGAAUGAUGAAGAAGAAUUCAUAUAAAUUAUGAGAUAUAACAUAAACAUUUAAACAUUAUUAUUAACUCAUUUCUAUUGACUUGUCAGGGAAAAAUAGAAAUGAUAAUAAAUUACAAAUAUACCUUCGGCUUGAGAGAAGGUAAAGGUACAAGCGUGAGGCAAAAGCAAAUGCCAAGUCAGCGUGAACAGUACGGGAACACUGUUCAUCUAUUUAUAGGCACGGGACGCAGCCCAUGCAAAAUUACAUCCAGGCCCUUUGCUUUUGACAAUAACUCUAUAGUAAUCUAUCUGGGUCUAGAUAGUCUUUUCCUCUUUAAGUCGGUUUCCUCUUUUCUGCCAUCAUACCGAAGCUCCCUUGCGCACAGCUUCGGCUCUGCUCCAUCCUUCGUAUUGUUUCCGUGCUUCUUCAUACCGUGGGCUCUUGUUCGAAGAUCCCUAUCCACACAUUAUACUCCAGAGGCAUUGUUAAAUCAUGUUUUUGAGGACCUUCGGAAGUCGAAGGCCCCCAACAGUAGCCCCUCGCAAUAUUAAUUUAUUAGAAUGAUAAAUUUAGAUCGCGACAUGGACGAAGGCCUUAAGCCGAAGGUCCGAAAAAACACCUUCCCUUUGCUAGAAUAGCAACAAUCAAUGACAAGCGGGGCCCUUUCCCUUGCAACACACUAGGCGUAUAAAUAAGAGCAUACCGCGAGCGGAUUUGGCACGCUUUUUGCCAUCUGCUCUUGCUCACCCAACUUUUAGCCCUUGCACACCAACACCUGCUUGGCCUUUUUUUAAAAAAAUUUAAGCUUCGGUUUCGAGAGCACUUUCUCAGCAUUUUCGAAGAUGUCUGAAGAUAAGAAAGUUGUCGCUGAGUCGAAGCUGAGACUUUCUGAGGAGAUGAAUCUCGGCUUUCUUGAAUCAAUAGCGAAGACAAAUACAGAGAAGAUUACUAGGGAGAUUUUAGAAGGUUUAUCUGAAGACACUGGUGACAGUGACAGUUAUGAUGUGGAAAGUGGUGGUGAAGAUUCCGAAGAUCGACCCUGGUGACCAAGCCAUGCAGUUUUUGGAAAAUCAAGCAUUAAACUAAGCCAUCUUGUUAAUAUGAGGGGCAGAUAUUUUCGGGAUUUAUCUAUUGUGAGGGCUGAUGAAGGAGAAAAAACUUGUCCUACUCCUGAGGAAAAUGAAGUCGUGAUAUUCCGAAGCUUCUUCAAGGCUGGGCUUCGGUUUCCUUUAAGCGGUUUCGUGGUUGAAGUUUUGAAGAUUUUUGAAAUCUACCUCCAUCAAAUUACUCCUGAAGCAAUCAUAAGGAUGGGAAUCUUCGUAUGGGCUGUGAAGAGCCAAGGUUUGGAGCCGAAUGCAAAAAGUUUCUGCAAUAUGCAUGAGCUAUUAUACGAGACGAAACCUUGGGGUAAAGAGAAAUAUCAUAACAAUUUUGGCUGCUACAGCUUCGGCGCCCGCUCUGGGUCAAGCUGUCCCGUGCCAACUUUUUGGAAGAGAUGGCCCGGGGACUCGAUGAAGGAAUGGUGUUAUGUAAAAAACGACUUGAAAACGCGAGAAGGUAUUAAAGAUAUCAUCAUGCGCCCCAUCUGGCAGCGUUUCGGCCUUCGGAAACCGAAGGUGGAUAUUGACGAAGCAACCGAAGAAUGCCAGAGGGCCUUCGGCGUAGUUUGCUCUUUCAUCGGGACAAGGGAUUUGAUCCAGGAACAUAUUUCCUUCAGAGUAUGGCCACUUGUAGAAAAGUGGGAAAUGCCGAAGGAAACCAUCAGCAAACCUGAUGAAGUGGACUAGUUAGGUUAAAAUAUACCUUCAGAUAUGGAGAUAAGUUUGUGGAGCCAGAUGAUGACUGGCUGAAAUGUAUUGAGGCCACAAGCGAUGAACUGCUUGGGCCAUAUUCGAAGACAGAAGAUACUGCACUGUCCGCGGCCUUCGGAGGUCGGAAGAAGAGACUCAACCGAGUGUUUGAUGCCAUUGGGUUCGUCUAUCCUGACUACCGUUACCCAACACAGGGUCAGAAAGGGAAAGAUACGACUUCUGUGAAGAAAGUUGCUUCAGCCGCUCCUAGUGAGCCGGCGCCGAAGAGGAAAAAGAUGAAGGUUCUUACGCACCGGCCACGCUAUAUUGAACCGGCCACAGUGCCUGAGUUUGUCGGUGAGACCUCUUCGGCCACCGAAGCCAAGGAGCCGACUCUCCUGCCGAAUAUUGAAGAGCCGGCCAAAAUGCCGGCAAUGGAAAAAAUAGAAGAACCGAGGGCUGAAGAGACAAAGACAUCGGAAAAGAAUGGUUAACGUGCUAAUGCCGAAUAUUGAAGUCCUUCAGCAAGAAUCGAGGUGCUAAUGCCAAUGCCGAUGGCACAAAAAGACCUUACGACAACCCCCAAGAGGAAAAGAAUGGUUAACGUGCUAGAUGUACUGGAAACGAUAAAAUCUUCAAGCUCUACUCCGAAGAUAGCUACUGAAGUUCCAAAGACACAAACUGAGGCCAAAGCUGCCAAAAGUCAAGCGGAAACUGAAACUGGGCUUUCAGAGCCUACCAAGAGGGAAUUCUUGGAAAUUGAAAAAGAAACGGAAAAAGAAUCUGCAGAAGAAACUUUUUCUGAGAAAAUCGUCACACAUAUUCCCGAAGCAUCUUCUGAAGCUUCUGACUAUGUAUUACGUCAUGCUUCGGGUAAAAAUCUGAGCGAAAAAGAAAAAAGAGAAGCUCAAUUCUAUGCGCAAAAAUUGAAAUAUCCAAAAGGGGCGCUGAUAUUCAACGGCAGCGGAGAAGAAGACUUCUUGUAUUGUCUCCCUCAUAGCAAGGAGAUUUCUGUCUGUCGGGAGAUGAGCAAAAGCUUCGGAUUCCCAACAUUAGAAGACGGGCUCUUGGUGUUGUCAAAGGACGAGCUAGCCGACAGCUUAGCGUAUAAUAGUUUAAAGGUGAAGAAAAUGAGAUCUUUGUAUUAUUUCUUGAAACCAAAAUUUUUCAUUUGCUUAAACUUAUUAACGCAUUUUUUUACAGGGUCUUAUACUUAGCAAUGCCCUCAGGGCACAAAAGAAUGACGAAGACGAAGGGUGCGCCAUAGCCCUGAGCAACCUUCGUUCCGAAGUAAUUGAUCUAAGGAACGAAGGUCUCGAAAAAGAUAAAAUAUUACAUUCGUUGGUGAAUAAAAUAAAAGAAGAUGAAGCUACUUUCAAAGCUCAAGCUGAGGCUCAGAAGCACGAAAUUGAGAAUCUUCGGAAACAACUAGCCAGAGCUACAGAAGAAUACACAAUUGAAGAAACAAAACGAGAAAUUAGUGAACAAUGGGCAAAUCAUUUAGAAAAAAACGUUGAAGAGCUUCGUGCGUCCAAGAAAAGGUGUUAUGAAAAAUCUAUAGAAUGUGUUAAGAAAAUAAGAACCAGCUUCACCAACGUUGGCGCGUUUUCAAGUGAAGAAAAUUUCAUGAGGGGUGACCCCGAAAGCCCAAUUGGAUGGAUCAGCCACGAAGCUGAAGCUUUUGAAUAGCCGUGGAGACAUAUGUGCCUUCUCGGGUGCCAGGGGGAUUGCCGCUGUUUUGGAGAAGAAAGGUUGCGAUCACGUGAAAUCCCUGGCACAGACCGAAGCCGUUUUAUCCUCUGAAGACAUAAAAGACCCUUCGGCCGAGGCGAGUUUGGUUGGUGGGAAAUUUUUCACCGACAUCUGGGAAAACGGUGGCCGGGAGAUGGCUCAAGAAAUUAUACGGAGAAGCGAGAAUGGUAUACAUGACGCUAGAAAAGUAGCAGAGGCCGCUGAGAAAAGUGUGGAUCUCGAAGGGCGAAUAGGUAUUAACUAGUAAUUUUUGGCUUUUUGUUGUAACCUUUUGAUUUUGAACUUGUUUACACUUUGUAACAUGGUCGCACCUUCUCCUCCCUCAGAGCCUGCCGAGCCAUCGACAGACCCCCACGUAAAGGGGGAUGACGAGAUUAGAAGAAUGGCUGAAGCUAUCAUGGACAAAGUUGUUGAUCAAUUACUAAACGAAGCUGCAGAAAUAGUUCUAAGGGAAGAUUAGAUGUUAUUGUAAAAACAUUUGGAAUGUAAUAUUUGUUGAACAAUAUGUGUAAUAUUUUGUAACUUUGAAUGUAAUAUAUAAUCUAUUUGUGGUUCAAUUCUUUACGAUGCAUGAAACUUUACAUACAUACCGUUUUUGAGCCUUCGGCGAAAAAACACCUUCCCUUCUUUUCAUGCUUCGUAAAUAAUAUCCGUAUAUCAUAAAAACAUCCAAUUUUCGUAAAAUCAGUAACCAAUAGAUCUUUUUAUUUCAUAAAAACAUCCAAUCUUCGUAAAAUCAGUAACCAAUCUUCGUAAAGGCAUGCUUCUUCAAUAAUUAUUUUUGUGCCUUGGCACUGUUUCUUCGAAACAAUCUCCGAAUAUCAACAUUGAAACCCCCUUCUUGCGUCAUUGAUGCAAUAUGAUGUAUGAUGUUAUGCUAUGCAAAUGAUGUGAUGAUGUGAUGUUAUGCAAAAUGAUAUUUGCCGAAGAUCAACGUUUAUUUUUCACUGCAAGCCUCCCUUAGGAGCUUCUUCGCCUUUUACUUCAGCGGAAUCAGCAUUUAUUUUUCGCUGUAAGCCUCCCUUAGGAGCUUCUUCGCCUUUUACUUUCAGCGGAAUCAGCGUUUAUUUUUUGCUGUAAGCCUCCCUUAGGAGCUUCUUCGCCUUUUACUUUCAGCGGAAUCAGCGUUUAUUUUUCGCUGUAAGCUCUGCAUUCCCUUCGGAACGACUUUUGAGCAGAAAACUUACGCUGCGCUCCCUUAGGAACGACUUUUUGUUAUUUCGGAGAUUCUCCUUGUAACCAUAAAUUCUUAUGCUUCGGCAACUCUGUUAUUUUGUGGAGAAGGUAUAUUUUUACUGUGGCGAAAACGAAGCUAUUACAAGAAAUUGAAAACGACAAAAAGCACUUAGGCUUUCAAUAAUUGUUCCUUAUUAAAAAGAAAAUGAUACUGAAUGUAAAAACUACUGCCGAGGUAGGAUAUUUGUUAGUAAAUAUGCUUCGAUUCUGGCACAGUACUAUUGACUGUGCGAGCUUCGGACUCUUCUCUAAAGUCCCGUUGAAGGUGGAUAUGCUGACUCCCUUCUGGCUGCUGGCUUUGUUGCAUUGGUGGUGGAGGUGGAGGCUGCUGCCAAGAUGCCUGAGGUUGGCUUGCCGAAGCAACAGAAGCUGCAGGGUGGUUGCCUACAUACUCUGGAAUGUAAGGCGAAUGGUAUGAAGCAGUGUGCAUAACUUGCUUCGGCUGGCUCUGUUGGGCUGCAGCUUCUGCUAUCUCCUUUUGUUUCUGGAUGGUAACAUGGCACAUCCUGGUGGUAUGGCCCUUGUCCUCUCCACAGAAUAGGCAAUAGAUCUUCCUGGGCUGAUCCCCAAAUCUUCCUCCGAAGCCCCUGGCACCUCUACCCCUUGGAGCUGGAGGCCGAGGAUAGCUCUGCUGCUGCCCCGAAGCCUGGGAGGAAUAUUGCGGCCUCUGCUGCUGGCUUCCCCUGUCAUCAUUCUGAGUGUUAUGAAUCGAUCUGACAUGUCUAGGGUGAACUCUCCCUCCGAAGCCACUGGCUAUUUUGGAGAACCUGUAAGCUUCCUCCCUUCUCUAUCGGAAGUCGUUGUCAGCGCGGAUGUAUUCGUCCAUCUUCUGAAGCAGUUUCUCCAGAGUCUGAGGGGGCUUCCUGGCAAAGUACUGGGCUGAAGGUCCUGGCCGAAGCCCCUUAAUCAUGGCCUCAAUGACAAUUUCAUUGGGCACUGUUGGUGCUUGUGCCCUCAGGCGUAAGAACCUUCGGACAUACGCCUGAAGAUAUUCUCCGUGGUCUUGGGUGCACUGGAAUAAGUCUUGAGCGGUGACCGGCUUCGUUUGAAACCCUUAGAAACUGGUGAUCAGCAUAUCCUUCAGCUUCUGCCAUGAUGUGAUUGUUCCUGGCCGAAGGGAGGAGUACCAGGUUUGUGCAACAUUCUUGACGGCCAUGACGAAAGACUUCGCCAUGACUGCAAUAUUGCCACCAUAGGAAGAUAUCGUUGCUUCGUAGCUCAUCAGAAACUGCUUCAGAUCUGAGUGUCCGUUGUACAUGGGGAGUUGAGGUGGCUUGUAAGACGGAGGCCAAGGUGUAGCCUGCAGUUCUGGUGAUAGAGGAGAAGCAUCGUCAAAAGCAAAAUUUCCAUGAUGGAAAUCCUCAUACCAGUCAUCCUCGUUGACGAAGCCCUCUUGGUGGAGCUCUCUGUACUGGGGCCUCCGGUUCUAUUCAUCUUGCGUAAGAUGACGAACCUCUUUAGAGGCUUUGUCUAUCUGCCUUUGUAGGUCAGCUAGCCGGGCCAUCUUUUCUUUCUUCUUUUGCACUUGUUGAUGCAGCAUUUCCAUGUUCCUGAUUUCUUGGUCCAAAUCGUCCUCCUGAGGCGUUGGACUGGUGGCCUUCCUCUUCUGGCUUCGGGCUUCCCGAAGAGAGAGAGUCUCCUGGUUCGUGUCCAGCGGCUGCAGAGCCGCAGCCCCUGUUGCUGAAGCUUUCUUUGGCGGCAUGACAAAGGUCGAUGCUUGCCGAAGGUGUUCGAAACUCAAAAAGUGGAAGUGAGUUCACCGGAGGUGGGCACUAAUGUUGGGGACUUGUUCUCAAAUGCUAAGAGUUAAGAACAAGGAAACAUAAAAAUGUUAAAUGCUAAAGUCCUUAGUCCUUCGAAGCAUUAUUUCCCUUAGGAUAUAAUGAAUUUCGGACGAAGGUUAUGAAGGACAUACCUUCAUAAGCACAACGAAUGAUGAAGAAGAAUUCAUAUAAAUUAUGAGAUAUAACAUAAACAUUUAAACAUUAUUAUUAACUCAUUUCUAUUGACUUGUCAGGGAAAAAUAGAAAUGAUAAUAAAUUACAAAUAUACCUUCGGCUUGAGAGAAGGUAAAGGUACAAGCGUGAGGCAAAAGCAAAUGCCAAGUCAGCGUGAAUAGUACGGGAACACUGUUCAUCUAUUUAUAGGCACGGGACGCAGCCCAUGCAAAAUUACAUCCAGGCCCUUUGCUUUUGACAAUAACUCUAUAGUAAUCUAUCUGGGUCUAGAUAGUCUUUUCCUCUUUAAGUCGGUUUCCUCUUUUCUGCCAUCAUGCCGAAGCUCCCUUGCGCACAACUUCUGCUCUGCUCCAUCCUUCGUAUUGUUUCCGUGCUUCUUCAUACCAUGGGCUCUUGUUCGAAGAUCCCUGUCCACACAUUAUACUCCAGAGGCAUUGCUAAAUCAUGUUUUUGAGGACCUUCGGAAGCCGAAGGCCCCCAACAGUUAUUUUGCUCUAAGAUCGGCAGUAAUGAAGUAUAAAUCAUCGUUGUGGUGUGCUACUCGGUUAAUUGAGCAUUAACACACACAAACAUGACGAGGAUGGUAUAAUCUCCAAAAAUGUGUACUUUGUUAGGUGGGACCCUAUAGCCUUGCAGAAUGUGCUAUGUUAGGCAUGCCUGGAAACGUGUGACGCAUACGUUUUGUGAACCUGUUCAUAUUAUAUGUGCUUUUAUAUUAUCGUAUUUUAUUAAAAUACUAAUAUUUAUUACUAGUAAGAUAUAACAUUCUAUCUAGCUUAAAAACUAACCAUAAAUAUUCCAUAAUAACUAGAUUUACCAAACUAAUAUACUAAAUAUACAUAAUAAAUACAAAAUUAACAAGACAAUAAUCAAUAUUUAUGAGCUUAAUAUAUUUAGACAUUAUGGUUGGUCGACGAUAAUCAUGCUAACUUUCCGUAAUUGCUUGAUUGUAAAUAUGCUUAGAAUAAUGCCUCUUUGUUCUACAUGGCAAAUAGGGACCAUUAUGGUGUAACACCCUGGGAUCCACAAACACCCUGAAAUGCUACUAAACUACACAACUAACCUUCAUAUAUUAAAUUUCGACAGCAUCUCCUUUGAAAAUUUGUAUAAACGUGGAAGCAACAGAGUAUAAACAGAUAUGAUGAUAAGGAAACAUAAUAGACAUUAAUAAUCUGCUAGAAAUGGGAAGAUAACCAUAACGACAUAAACUGAAUUAACUAGUGUGCACGGCAUGUUAAAAACAAACAUCGUUGACAAGAAGUUUCUAAUUAAAUCAUGGCUGUGCCUAGGCAGCGUUAUUAUAUGAGUGAAGGUGGACGUGAUGCUACUUCCCUCAUUCCCAACAUGAAUCAAGUACCUGUAUUGAGUAAUGCAAGAGUGAGAUGAAAACAUCUCAGCAAGUAAAUUGUUUUGACGAGAUAUUUAAACCAAAAAAAUUUGAUUUAAUCAACAUUUUAAAGGGAUCACAAUUGAGAUCAGACAUACUUGUAGAUAUAAAACUCAAUAGUCCCAAAAUAACCAAUGCCAUCUCAUUUCCACAAACAACCACAAUAGGUUGUAUAACACUUCCCUGCGUCAUCAAUACCUGCAAAUAUCACUUCAAUGUAUGCAUAGGAAUGCAAUGUUUAAGUCCUCUGCAUUCAUACUUCUUAGAGUAUAAAACCACACCAUCUGCAAAUAUCACUUCAAUGAAUGCAUAUGAAUGCAAUGCAUAUGUCCUCUGCCUUCAUACCUCUAAGGGUAUGAAGACGCAUCGUACCCCUCCUCGGGCAACGUACGAUGCUAAGUUGUACCGGUACGGUCGGACCAUAGGUCACGACAAAACUUCAGAUGCAAGUGAAUCAUGACAUGUAUAUGGCAUGCUGCAUUUAUCAAUAUACUACACUUCCUUCACAUACAAUACAAACCUCAAAUAAUACUUCGUUUACCUUCAGAUACAAUACAAACCUCAAAUAAUACUUCAUUCACCUUCAGGGGUGUUUAUUAAUCUCGUGGGUCAUACUCAAAUCAUCAUCAUCAUCAAUGAUGUUUAAGCAUCAGUAUAAUACAAUCAAGUAAAGCAUCACCAUAGAGUUCAAUUAUGAAAGAAUUCGAUGAUUCUGAAUAUUAGAGUGUAUGCGAUGAAACAACAAAGUCAAAACGGUAGCAACCACCGCUACAUUCACUUGCCUUCAUCGAAGAAGAAAAAGGUACUAGGCAUGAUUCGGAGUGUAGACACCUGCUGUGGGGCUUAAAACUUAGUACAAAUAUUCCACAAACAUUUGCCAACAACUAACAAAUCGCUCCUACACUUGUAACCAAGACCCGGUGGAAUGACUCCCACCCUGAACCACAUGUCAAACAGCAGGAGUGCUGUUUGUUAAUUUUGUAUCUUUAAAAUUAUAACAGUGGUGAUAUCAAACAAAUACUCUAGAAGUUUCUACACAAAAUACUCUACAACUUCGGUAUUCAAUGGAUAAUUAAAUUUUGCCAUCUAUAAGUUCUAAAACAUCUGACAAGAUAACUGACAGAAUCUGUUUCAGACAGCAGCAUAGUUAACUUCAAAAUUCGAUAUCUCCCAAACUCCUCAACCAAAAUUUAUGAAAUUAUGUUGACAGUAAGAACUUUUAUCCCUCUACAAAAGUCUCCAUAGUUGGAAGAGCCAAUUCGGCCAUUUACUAGAUGAAACCUACCAUUUAACAGACCCGCUCAUUUUUGUCAGGCAAACAAGAACCCUUAUAUAUCAAAGAGUAGUGGAUUUGAAUUUGUCUAAUAUGAAGUUUAUGGGCUUGGAUCAUUUAAAGUAUUUUAUAAUUCUGAAAGACAAGAUUAAACUAACUAUGUAUGAUCCUUUAGCACCGUACAGAUGGUCGAUGGGACAGUUACAUGGUUUAUAUAGAUGGACAUAUCUAUAUUCCUUCAGUGGUUGAGAAAAAGGUAAAGGUGUGUCACACUCACGCGUGCACUGCCUCCGCCGAGACGAGGCAUGGCGUUGCAAGGUGAGGCAUGGCAUGGUGCAGCACGAUCGUAUACAUGGUCGUGGCACAGUGUAGCACUGUUGUGGAUAGAUAGAUAAACUUUUGUUGUAGUUAGAGUGCAUGAGUUUUUGAAUGCAACACAAGAAUUUUCACAAUUUAACUUAAUUAAGAAGUUAUAUCUUGAUGACACAGAGUUACCUGACCAUUGAUCUCACAUGCCCUUUUAGCUCUCUCGUUCUCUAGACUCACCCUGACUAUUUAGGUCUCCUGACUCGCCAAUAUAAACACCAUCCUAUCAUUUGCUCUCGAAUACUUCUGUGUCACAACUCAACUGUCAGAUGAGUACUCCAUUACAGCACUGAGCAGGCCUCCGAAAUGAAUAUCUACUCAGAUGAAGGACGACAAUCGUGUUCUAGGGAAAUAUCAGCGACACAACUCCUUACUUCCUCCGCUUCUUCCUAGUGUUUUUUGUUGUGAUUGAGUCGACAUAGCAACAACACUGCACUAUUACAACCAGUACGACUAUAUCAACUAGCAAUGUCUUCCUUAUAUGUUACUAUUUAUUUUGCUCAUAUUCAUUAUGUUUAAAUCACAUAGGCGCCUUUAUGUUGGCAUCAAAAAAUCAGUAUCAACUUUAUAGAUUAAAAUGAAACUAAAAGUACCUAAAUUUCUAUCGGUGGGGAUCGAGUGAUUCUUUAAACCGAUUAUUACACAAGUUAACCACACUAAAAUUAACAAUGGUGAAUCGUGCCAUGAUUUUUUUCUAGUGGAAAAUAGCCAAACCAAGCAACACAUAUGUGGCUAUCGUUACACAUGUGUAAAGGUAUUGCAUCACACCAUUGUCACCCAUGUAUUUGGACAAUACCGAGAGGAAAAACCACUUAUUUAUUGUAUUAUAUCAAGUUUGUCUUGCUUACGUAUAAAUUAUAACCCAACAAAGUAAUCACUAAAUGUCAAAACCAACUAGAUACCAUGUCAUCUCUACCUUAUCUUACUAAUAUUCUUUUUGCAAAAUCCAAAAUUAAUCUUGCACAAGCACAAGGACUGAGAUGUGUAUAAAUAUCUCUUAAAUUAGUAGCUAAUAUAUCGCACAUAUUAUUGAGACCAACUAGCAACAUAGAAAGCACAAUAGUGUACCAACAAUGGCAGCCAAAAUAUUUUGCCUCCUUAUGCUCCUUGGUCUUUCUGCAAGUGCUGCUACGGCGACCAUUUUCCCGCAAUGCUCGCAAGCUCCUAUAGCUUCCCUUCUUCCCCCGUACCUCUCACCAGCGGUGUCUUCGGUAUGUGAAAACCCAAUUCUUCAACCCUACAGGAUCCAACAGGCAAUCACAGCUGGCAUCUUACCUUUAUCACCCUUGUUCCUCCAACAAUCAUCAGCCCUAUUACAUCAGUUACCUUUGGUGCAUUUAUUGGCACAAAACAUCAGGGCACAACAACUACAACAACUUGUGCUAGCAAACCUUGCUGCCUACUCUCAGCAACAGCAGUUUCUUCCAUUCAACCAACUAGCUGCAUUGAACUCUGCUUCUUAUUUGCAACAACAACAACUACCAUUCAGCCAGCUACCUGCUGCCUACCCCCAGCAAUUUCUUCCAUUCAACCAACUGGCAGCAUUGAACUCUCCUGCUUAUUUACAGCAGCAACAACUACUACCAUUCAGCCAGCUAGCUGGUGUGAGCCCUGCUACCUUCUUGAUACAACCACAGUUGUUGCCGUUCUACCAGCACGCUGCGCCUAACGCUGGCACCCUCUUACAACUGCAACAAUUGCUGCCAUUCAACCAACUUGCUUUGACAAACCCAGCAGCGUUCUACCAACAACCCAUCAUUGGUGGUGCCCUCUUUUAGAUUUCUUAUGAGUUAUAGUUCAAUAAUAAAGUUUUUUGUCUGAUGUUUGUGGCUUCCCAGAAAUAAGAAAGUACAUUUCUAGAUUCUUAUGUGCUUCUAGUCUCCAAAUGUGGUUGAUAGUUAUUUUGCUCUAAGAUCGACAGUAAUGAAGUAUAAAUCAUCGUUGUGGUGUGCUACUCGGUUAAUUGAGCAUUAACACACACAAACAUGACGAGGAUGGUAUAAUCUCCAAAAAUAUGUACUUUGUUAGGUGGGACCCUAUAGCCUUGCAUAAUGUGCUAUGUUAGGCAUGCCUGGAAACGUGUGACGCAUAUGUUUUGUGAACCUGUUGAUAUUAUAUGUGCUUUUAUAUUACCAUAUUUUAUUAAAAUACUAAUAUUUAUUACUAGUAAGAUAUAACAUUCUAUCUAGCUUAAAAACUAACCAUAAAUAUUCCAUAAUAACUAGAUUUACCAAACUAAUAUACUAAAUAUACAUAAUAAAUACAAAAUUAACAAGACAAUAAUCAAUAUUUAUGAGCUUAAUAUAUUUAGACAUUAUGGUUGGUCGACCAUAAUCAUGCUAACUUUUCGUACUUGCUUGAUUGUAAAUAUGCUUAGAAUAAUGCCUCUUUGUUCUACAUGGCAAAUAGGGACCAUUAUGGUGUAACACCCUGGGAACCACAAACACCCCGAAAUGCUACUAAACUACACAACUAACCUUCAUAUAUAAAAUUUCGACAGCAUCUCCUUUGAAAAUUUGCAUAAACGUGGAAGCAACAGAGUAUAAACAGAUAUCAUGAUAAGGAAACAUACUAGACAUUAAUAAUCUGCUAGAAAUGGGAAGAUAACCAUAACGACAUAAACUGAAUUAACUAGUGUGCACAACUUGUUUAAAACAAACAUCAUUGACAAGAAGUUUCUAAUUAAAUCAUGGCUGUGCCUGGGUAGCGUUAUUAUGAGAGUGAAGGUGGACGUGAUGCUACUUCCCUCAUUCCCAACAUGAAUCAAGUACCUGCAUUGAGUAAUGCAAGAGUGAGAUGAAAACAUCUCAGCAAGUAAAUUGUUUUGACGAGAUAUUUAAAGCAAAAAAAUUUGAUUUACUCAACAUUUUAAAGGGAUCACAAUUGAGAUCAGAAAUACUUGUAGAUAUAGAACUCAAUAGUCCCAAAAUAACCAGUGCCAUCUCAUUUCCUCAAACAACCACAAUAGGUUGUAUAACACUUCCCUGCGUCAUCAAUACCUGCAAAUAUCACUUCAAUGUAUGCAUAGGAAUGCAAUGUUUAAGUCCUCUGCAUUCAUACUUCUUAGAGUAUAAAACCACACCAUCUGCAAAUAUCACUUCAAUGAAUGCAUAUGAAUGCAAUGCAUAUGUCCUCUGCCUUCAUACCUCUAAGGGUAUGAAGCCGAAUCGUACCCCUCCUCGGGCAACGUACGAUGCUAAGUUGUACCGUUACGGUCGGACCAUAGGUCACGACAAAACUUCAUAUGCAAGUGAAUCAUGACAUGUAUAUGGCUUGCUGCAUUUAUCAAUAUACUUCACUUCCUUCAUAUACAAUACAAACCUCAAAUAAUACUUCGUUUACCUUCAGAUACAAUACAAACCUCAAAUAAUACUUCAUUCACCUUCAGGGGUGUUUAUUAAUCUCGUGGGUCAUACUCGAAUCAUCAUCAUCAUCAAUGAUGAUUAAGCAUCAGUAUAAUACAAUCAAGUAAAGCAUCACCAUAGAGUUCAAUUAUGAAAGAAUUCGAUGAUUCUGAAUAUUAGAGUGUAUGCGAUGAAACAACAACGUCAAAACGGUAGCAACCACCGCUACAUUCACUUGCCUUCAUCGAAGAAGAAAAACAUACUAGGCAUGAUUCAGAGUGUAGACACCUGCUGUGGGGCUUAAAACUUAGUACAAAUAUUCCACAAACAUUUGCCAACAAUUAACAAAUCGCUCCUACACUUGAAACCAAGACCCGGUGGAAUGACUCCCACCCUGAACCACAUGCCAAACAAUAGUAGUGUUGUUUGUUAAUUUUGUAUCUUUAAAAUUAUAACAGUGGUGAUAUCAAACAAAUACUCCAGAAGUUUCUACACAAAAUACUCUACAACUUUGGUAUUCAAUGGAUAAUUAAAUUUUGCCAUCUAUAAGUUCUAAAACAUCUGAUAAGAUAACUGACUGAAUUUGUUUCAGACAACAGCAUAGUUAACUUCAAAAUUCGAUAUCUCCCAAACUCCUCAACCAAAAAUUAUGAAAUUAUUCUGACAGUAAGAACUUUUUUCCCUCUACAAAAGUAUCUAUAGUUGGAAGAGCCAAUUCGGCCAUUUACUAGAUGAAACCUACCAGUUAACAGACCCGCUCAUUUUUGUCAGGCAAACAAGAACCCUUAUAUAUCAAAGAGUAGUGGAUUUGAAUUUGUCUAAUAUGAAGUUUAUGGGCUUGGAUCAUUUAAAGUAUUUUAUAAUUCUGAAAGACAAGAUUAAACUAACUAUGUAUGAUCCUUUAGCACUGUACAGAUGGUCGAUGGGACAGUUACAUGGUUUAUAUAGAUGGACCUAUCUAUAUUCCUUCAGUGGUUGAGAAAAAGGUAAAGGUGUGUCACACUCACGUGUGCGCCGCCUCUACCGAGAUGAGGCAUGGCGUUGCAAGGUGAGGCAUGGCAUGGUGCAGCACGAUCGUAUACAUGGUCGUGGCACAGUGUAGCACUGUUGUGGAUAGAUAGAUAAACUUUUGUUGUAGUUAGAGUGCAUGAGUUUUUGAAUGCAACACAAGAAUUUUCACAAUUUAACUUAAUUAAGAAGUUAUAUCUUGAUGACACAGAGUUACCUGACCAUUGAUCUCACAUGCCCUUUUAGCUCUCUCGUUCUCUAGACUCACCCUGACUAUUUAGGUCUCCUGACUCGCCAAUAUAAACACCAUCCUAUCAUUUGCUCUCGAAUACUUCUGUGUCACAACUCAACUGUCAGAUGAGUACUCCAUUACAGCACUGAGCAGGCCUCCGAAAUGAAUAUCUACUCAGAUGAAGGACGACAAUCGUGUUCUAGGGAAAUAUCGGUGACACAACUCCUUACUUCCUCCGCUUCUUCCUAGUGUUUUUUGUUGUGAUUGAGUCGACACAGCAACAACACUGCACUAUUACAACCAGUACGACUAUAUUAACUAGCAAUGUCUUCCUUAUAUGUUACUAUUUAUUUUGCUCAUAUUCAUUAUGUUUAAAUCACAUAGGCACCUUUUUGUUGGCAUCAAAAAAUUAGUAUCAACUUUCUAGAUUAAAGUGAAACUAAAAGUACCUAAAUUUCUAUCGGUGGGGAUCGAGUGAUUCUUUAAACCAAUUAUUACGCAAGUUAACCACACUAAAAUUAACAUUGGUGAACCGUGCCAUGAUUUUUUCUAAUGGAAAAUAGCCAAACCAAGCAACACAUAUGUGGCUAUCGUUACACAUGUGUAAAGGUAUUGCAUCACACCAUUGUCACCCAUGUAUUUGGACAAUACCGAGAGGAAAAACCACUUAUUUAUUGUAUUUUAUCAAGUUUGUCUUGCUUACGUAUAAAUUAUAACCCAACAAAGUAAUCACUAAAUGUCAAAACCAACUAGAUACCAUGUCAUCUCUACCUUAUCUUACUAAUAUUCUUUUUGCAAAAUCCAAAAUUAAUCUUGCACAAGCACAAGGACUGAGAUGUGUAUAAAUAUCUCUUAAAUUAGUAGCUAAUAUAUCACACAUAUUAUUGAGACCAACUAGCAACAUAGAAAGCACAAUAGUGUACCAACAAUGGCAGCUAAAAUAUUUUGCCUCCUUAUGCUCCUUGGUCUUUCUGCAAGUGCUGCUACGGCGACCAUUUUCCCACAAUGCUCACAAGCUCCUAUAGCUUCCCUUCUUCCCCCGUACCUCUCACCAACGGUGUCUUCGGUAUGUGAAAACCCAAUUCUUCAACCCUACAGGAUCCAACAGGCAAUCGCAGCUGGCAUCUUACCUUUAUCACCCUUGUUCCUCCAACAAUCAUCAGCCCUAUUACAGCAGUUACCUUUGGUGCAUUUAUUGGCACAAAACAUCAGGGCACAACAACUACAACAACUUGUGCUAGCAAACCUUGCUGCCUACUCUCAGCAACAGCAGUUUCUUCCAUUCAACCAACUAGCUGCAUUGAACUCUGCUUCUUAUUUGCAACAACAACAACUACCAUUCAGCCAGCUAUCUGCUGCCUACCCCCAGCAAUUUCUUCCAUUCAACCAACUGACAGCAUUGAACUCUCCUGCUUAUUUACAGCAGCAACAACUACUACCAUUCAGCCAGCUAGCUGGUGUGAGCCCUGCUACCUUCUUGACACAACCACAGUUGUUGCCGUUCUACCAGCACGCUGCGCCUAACGCUGGCACCCUCUUACAACUGCAACAAUUGCUGCCAUUCAACCAACUUGCUUUGACAAACCCAGCAGCAUUCUACCAACAACCCAUCAUUGGUGGUGCCCUCUUUUAGAUUUCUUAUGAGUUAUAGUUCAAUAAUAAAGUUUUUUGUCUGAUGUUUGUGGCUUCCCAGAAAUAAGAAAGUACAUUUCUAGAUUCUUAUGUGCUUCUAGUCUCCAAAUGUGGUUGAUAGUUAUUUUGCUCUAAGAUCAACAGUAAUGAAGUAUAAAUCAUCGUUGUGGUGUGCUACUCGGUUAAUUGAGCAUUAACACACACAAACAUGACGAGGAUGGUAUAAUCUCCAAAAAUGUGUACUUUGUUAGGUGGGACCCUAUAGCCUUGAUUAAUGUGCUAUGUUAGGCAUGCCUGGAAACGUGUGACGCAUAUGUUUUGUGAACCUGUUGAUAUUAUAUGUGCUUUUAUAUUACCAUAUUUUAUUAAAAUACUAAUAUUUAUUACUAGUAAGAUAUAACAUUCUAUCUAGCUUAAAAACUAACCAUAAAUAUUCCAUAAUAACUAGAUUUACCAAACUAAUAUACUAAAUAUACAUAAUAAAUACAAAAUUAACAAGACAAUAAUCAAUAUUUAUGAGCUUAAUAUAUUUAGACAUUAUGGUUGGUCGACGAUAAUCAUGCUAACUUUUCGUAAUUGCUUGAUUGUAAAUAUGCUUAGAAUAAUGCCUCUUUGUUCUACAUGGCAAAUAGGGACCAUUAUGGUGUAACACCCUGGGAACCACAAACACCCCGAAAUGCUACUAAACUACACAACUAACCUUCAUAUAUAAAAUUUCGACAGCAUCUCCUUUGAAAAUUUGCAUAGACGUGGAAGCAACAGAGUAUAAACAGAUAUCAUGAUAAGAAAACAUACUAGACAUUAAUAAUCUGCUAGAAAUGGGAAGAUAACCAUAACGACAUAAACUGAAUUAACUAGUGUGCACAACUUGUUAAAAACAAACAUCGUUGACAAGAAGUUUCUAAUUAAAUCAUGGUUGUGCCUGGGCAGCGUUAUUAUGAGAGUGAAGGUGGACGUGAUGCUACUUCCCUCAUUCCCAACAUGAAUCAAGUACCUGCAUUGAGCAAUGCAAGAGUGAGAUGAAAACAUCUCAGCAAGUAAAUUGUUUUGACGAGAUAUUUAAACCAAAAAAAUUUGAUUUACUCAACAUUUUAAAGGGAUCACAAUUGAGAUCAGAAAUACUUGUAGAUAUAGAACUCAAUAGUCCCAAAAUAACCAGUGCCAUCUCAUUUCCUCAAACAACCACAAUAGGUUGUAUAACACUUCCCUGCGUCAUCAAUACCUGCAAAUAUCACUUCAAUGUAUGCAUAGGAAUGCAAUGUUUAAGUCCUCUGCAUUCAUACUUCUUAGAGUAUAAAACCACACCAUCUGCAAAUAUCACUUCAAUGAAUGCAUAUGAAUGCAAUGCAUAUGUCCUCUGCCUUCAUACCUCUAAGGGUAUGAAGCCGAAUCGUACCCCUCCUCGGGCAACGUACGAUGCUAAGUUGUACCGGUACGGUCGGACCAUAGGUCACGACAAAACUUCAUAUGCAAGUGAAUCAUGACAUGUAUAUGGCUUGCUGCAUUUAUCAAUAUACUUCACUUCCUUCAUAUACAAUACAAACCUCAAAUAAUACUUCGUUUACCUUCAGAUACAAUACAAACCUCAAAUAAUACUUCAUUCACCUUCAGGGGUGUUUAUUAAUCUCGUGGGUCAUACUCGAAUCAUCAUCAUCAUCAAUGAUGAUUAAGCAUCAGUAUAAUACAAUCAAGUAAAGCAUCACCAUAGAGUUCAAUUAUGAAAGAAUUCGAUGAUUCUGAAUAUUAGAGUGUAUGCGAUGAAACAACAACGUCAAAACGGUAGCAACCACCGCUACAUUCAUUUGCCUUCAUCGAAGAAGAAAAAUGUACUAGGCAUGAUUCAGAGUGUAGACACCUGCUGUGGGGCUUAAAACUUAGUACAAAUAUUCCACAAACAUUUGCCAACAAUUAACAAAUCGCUCCUACACUUGAAACCAAGACCCGGUGGAAUGACUCCCACCCUGAACCACAUGCCAAACAAUAGUAGUGCUGUUUGUUAAUUUUGUAUCUUUAAAAUUAUAACAGUGGUGAUAUCAAACAAAUACUCUAGAAGUUUCUACACAAAAUACUCUACAACUUCGGUAUUCAAUGGAUAAUUAAAUUUUGCCAUCUAUAAGUUCUAAAACAUCUGAUAAGAUAACUGACUGAAUUUGUUUCAGACAGCAGCAUAGUUAACUUCAAAAUUCGAUAUCUCCCAAACUCCUCAACCAAAAAUUAUGAAAUUAUGCUGACAGUAAGAACUUUUUGUCCCUCUACAAAAGUAUCUAUAGUUGGAAGAGCCAAUUCGGCCAUUUACUAGAUGAAACCUACCAGUUAACAGACCCGCUCAUUUUUGUCAGGCAAACAAGAACCCUUAUAUAUCAAAGAGUAGUGGAUUUGAAUUUGUCUAAUAUGAAGUUUAUGGGCUUGGAUCAUUUAAAGUAUUUUAUAAUUCUGAAAGACAAGAUUAAACUAACUAUGUAUGAUCCUUUAGCACCGUACAGAUGGUCGAUGGGACAGUUACAUGGUUUAUAUAGAUGGACCUAUCUAUAUUCCUUCAGUGGUUGAGAAAAAGGUAAAGGUGUGUCACACUCACGUGUGCGCCGCCUCUGCCGAGAUGAGGCAUGGCGUUGCAAGGUGAGGCAUGGCAUGGUGCAGCACGAUCGCAGUCAUGGUCGUGGCACAGUGUAGCACUGUUGUGGAUAGAUAGAUAAACUAUUGUUGUAGUUAGAGUGCAUGAGUUUUUGAAUGCAACACUAGGAUUUUCACAAUUUAACUUAAUUAAGAAGUUAUAUCUUGAUGACACAGAGUUACCUGACCAUUGAUCUCACAUGCCCUUUUAGCUCUCUUGUUCUCUAGACUCACCCUGACUAUUGAGGUCUCUUGACUCGCCAAUAUAAACACCAUCCUAUCAUUUGCUCUCGAAUACUUUUGUGUCACAACUCAACUGUCAGAUGAGUACUCCAUUACAGCACUGAGCAGGCCUCCGAAAUGAAUAUCUACUCAGAUGAAGGACGACAAUCGUGUUCUAGGGAAAUAUCAGUGACACAACUCCUUACUUCCUCUGCUUCUUCCUAGUGUUUUUUGUUGUGAUUGAGUCGACACAGCAACAACACUGCACUAUUACAACCAGUACGACUAUAUUAACUAGCAAUGUCUUCCUUAUAUGUUACUAUUUAUUUUGCUCAUAUUCAUUAUGUUUAAAUCACAUAGGCACCUUUUUGUUGGCAUCAAAAAAUUAGUAUCAACUUUCUAGAUUAAAGUGAAACUAAAAGUACCUAAAUUUCUAUCGGUGGGGAUCGAGUGAUUCUUUAAACCGAUUAUUACACAAGUGAACCACACUAAAAUUAACAUUGGUGAAUCGUGCCAUGAUUUUUUCUAGUGGAAAAUAGCCAAACCAAGCAACACAUAUGUGGCUAUCGUUACACAUGUGUAAAGGUAUUGCAUCACACCAUUGUCACCCAUGUAUUUGGACAAUACCGAGAGGAAAAACCACUUAUUUAUUGUAUUUUAUCAAGUUUGUCUUGCUUACGUAUAAAUUAUAACCCAACAAAGUAAUCACUAAAUGUCAAAACCAACUAGAUACCAUGUCAUCUCUACCUUAUCUUACUAAUAUUCUUUUUGCAAAAUCCAAAAUUAAUCUUGCACAAGCACAAGGACUGAGAUGUGUAUAAAUAUCUCUUAAAUUAGUAGCUAAUAUAUCACACAUAUUAUUGAGACCAACUAGCAACAUAGAAAGCACAAUAGUGUACCAACAAUGGCAGCCAAAAUAUUUUGCCUCCUUAUGCUCCUUGGUCUUUCUGCAAGUGCUGCUACGGCGACCAUUUUCCCACAAUGCUCACAAGCUCCUAUAGCUUCCCUUCUUCCCCCGUACCUCUCACCAGCGGUGUCUUCGGUAUGUGAAAACCCAAUUCUUCAACCCUAUAGGAUCCAACAGGCAAUCGCAGCUGGCAUCUUACCUUUAUCACCCUUGUUCCUCCAACAAUCAUCAGCCCUAUUACAGCAGUUACCUUUGGUGCAUUUAUUGGCACAAAACAUCAGGGCACAACAACUACAACAACUUGUGCUAGCAAACCUUGCUGCCUACUCUCAGCAACAACAGUUUCUUCCAUUCAACCAACUAGCUGCAUUGAACUCUGCUUCUUAUUUGCAACAACAACAACUACCAUUCAGCCAGCUAUCUGCUGCCUACCCCCAGCAAUUUCUUCCAUUCAACCAACUGACAGCUUUGAACUCUCCUGCUUAUUUACAGCAGCAACAACUACUACCAUUCAGCCAGCUAGCUGGUGUGAGCCCUGCUACCUUCUUGACACAACCACAAUUGUUGCCGUUCUACCAGCACGCUGCGCCUAACGCUGGCACCCUCUUACAACUGCAACAAUUGCUGCCAUUCAACCAACUUGCUUUGACAAACCCAACAGCAUUCUACCAACAACCCAUCAUUGGUGGUGCCCUCUUUUAGAUUUCUUAUGAGUUAUAGUUCAAUAAUAAAGUUUUUUGUCUGAUGUUUGUGGCUUCCCAGAAAUAAGAAAGUACAUUUCUAGAUUCUUAUGUGCUUCUAGUCUCCAAAUGUGGUUGAUAGUUAUUUUGCUCUAAGAUUAGCAGUAAUGAAGUAUAAAUCAUCGUUGUGGUGUGCUACUCGGUUAAUUGAGCAUUAACACACACAAACAUGACGAGGAUGGUAUAAUCUCCAAAAAUGUGUACUUUGUUAGGUGGGACCCUAUAGCCUUGCAGAAUGUGCUACGUUAGGCAUGCCAAUGGAAACGUGUGACACAUACGUUUUGUGAAUCUGUUGAUAUUAUAUGUGCUUUUAUAUUACCAUAUUUUAUUAAAAUACUAAUAUUUAUUACUAGUAAGAUAUAACAUUCUAUCUAGCUUAAAAACUAACCAUAAAUAUUCCAUAAUAACUAGAUUUACCAAACUAAUAUACUAAAUAUACAUAAUAAAUAUAAAAUUAACAAGACAAUAAUUAAUAUUUAUGAGCUUAAUUUAUUUAGACAUUAUGGUUGGUCGACGAUAAUCAUGCUAACUUUCCGUAAUUGCUUGAUUGUAAAUAUGCUUAGAAUAAUGCCUCUUUGUUCUACAUGGCAAAUAGGGACCAUUAUGGUGUAACACCCCGGGAUCCACAAACACCCCGAAAUGCUACUAAACUACACAACUAACCUUCAUAUAUAAAAUUUCGACAGCAUCUCCUUUGAAAAUUUGCAUAAACGUGGAAGCAACAGAGUAUAAACAGAUAUCAUGAUAAGGAAACAUACUAGACAUUAAUAAUCUGCUAGAAAUGGGAAGAUAACCAUAACGACAUAAACUGAAUUAACUAGUGUGCACAACUUGUUAAAAACAAACAUCGUUGACAAGAAGUUUCUAAUUAAAUCAUGGUUGUGCCUGGGCAGCGUUAUUAUGAGAGUGAAGGUGGACGUGAUGCUACUUCCCUCAUUCCCAACAUGAAUCAAGUACCUGCAUUGAGUAAUGCAAGAGUGAGAUGAAAACAUCUCAGCAAGUAAAUUGUUUUGACGAGAUAUUUAAACCAAAAAAAUUGAUUUAAUCAACAUUUUAAAGGGAUCACAAUUGAGAUCAGAAAUACUUGUAGAUAUAGAACUCAAUAGUCCCAAAAUAACCAAUGCCAUCUCAUUUCCUCAAACAACCACAAUAGGUUGUAUAACACUUCCCUGCGUCAUCAAUACCUGCAAAUAUCACUUCAAUGUAUGCAUAGGAAUGCAAUGUUUAAGUCCUCUGCAUUCAUACUUCUUAGAGUAUAAAACCACACCAUCUGCAAAUAUCACUUCAAUGAAUGCAUAUGAAUGCAAUGCAUAUGUCCUCUGCCUUCAUACCUCUAAGGGUAUGAAGCCGCAUCGUACCCCUCCUCGGGCAACGUACGAUGCUAAGUUGUACCGGUACGGUCGGACCAUAGGUCACGACAAAACUUCAGAUGCAAGUGAAUCAUGACAUGUAUAUGGCAUGCUGCAUUUAUCAAUAUACUUCACUUCCUUCAUAUACAAUACAAACCUAAAAUAAUACUUCGUUUACCUUCAGAUACAAUACAAACCUCAAAUAAUACUUCAUUCACCUUCAGGGGUGUUUAUUAAUCUCGUGGGUCAUACUCAAAUCAUCAUCAUCAUCAAUGAUGUUUAAGCAUCAGUAUAAUACAAUCAAGUAAAGCAUCACCAUAGAGUUCAAUUAUGAAAGAAUUCGAUGAUUCUGAAUAUUAGAGUGUAUGCGAUGAAACAACAAAGUCAAAACGGUAGCAACCACCUCUACAUUCACUUGCCUUCAUCGAAGAAGAAAAAGGUACUAGGCAUGAUUCGGAGUGUAGACACCUGCUGUGGGGCUUAAAACUUAGUACAAAUAUUCCAUAAACAUUUGCCAACAAUUAACAAAUCGCUCCUACACUUGAAACCAAGACCCGGUGGAAUGACUCCCACCCUGAACCACAUGCCAAACAACAAUAGUGUUGUUUGUUAAUUUCUAUCUUUAAAAUUAUAACAGUGGUGAUAUCAAACAAAUACUCUAUACGUUUCUACACAAAAUACUCUACAACUUCGGUAUUCAAUGGAUAAUUAAAUUUUGCCAUCUAUAAGUUCUAAAACAUCUGACAAGAUAACUGACUGAAUCUGUUUCAGACAACAGCAUAGUUAACUUCAAAAUUCGAUAUCUCCCUAACUCCUCAACAAAAAAUUAUGAAAUUAUGCUGACAGUAAGAACUUUUAUCCCUCUACAAAAGUCUCCAUAGUUGAAAGAGCCAAUUCGGCCAUUUACUAGAUGAAACCUACCAGUUAACGGACCCGCUCAUUUUUGUCAAGCAAACAAGAACCCUUAUAUAUCAAAGAGUAGUGGAUUUGAAUUUGUCUAAUAUGAAGUUUACGGGCUUGGCUCAUUUAAAGUAUUUAAUAAUUCUGAAAGACAAGAUUAAACUAACUAUGUAUGAUCCUUUAGCACCGUACAGAUGGUCGAUGGGACAGUUACAUGGUUUAUAUAGAUGGACCUAUCUAUAUUCCUUCAGUGGUUGAGAAAAAAGUAAAGGUGUGUCACACUCACGUGUGCGCCGCCUCCGCCGAGACGAGGCAUGGCGUUGCAAGGUGAGGCAUGGCAUGGUGUAGCACGAUAGCAGUCAUGGUCGUGGCACAGUGUAGCACUGUUGUGGAUAGAUAGGUAAACUAUUGUUGUAGUUAGAGUGCAUGAGUUUUUGAAUGCAACACUAGAAUUUUCACAAUUUAACUUAAUUAAGAAGUUAUAUCUUGAUGACACAGAGUUACCUGACCAUUGAUCUCACAUGCCCUUUUAGCUCUCUCGUUCUCUAGACUCACCCUGACUAUUUAAGUCUCUUGACUCGCCAAUAUAAACACCAUCCUAUCAUUUGCUCUAGAAUACUUCUGUGUCACAACUCAACUGUCAGAUGAGUACUCCAUUACAGCACUUACGUACACGAGUUCUAUGAGAGCAGGCCUCCAAAAUGAAUAUCUACUUAGAUGAAGGACGACAAUCGUGUUCUAGGGAAAUAUCAGCGACACAACUCCUUACUUCCUUCGCUUCUUCCUAGUGUUUUUUGUUGUGAUUGAGUCGACACAGCAACAACACUGCACUAUUACAACCAGUACGACUAUAUCAACUAGCAAUGUCUUCCUUAUAUGUUACUAUUUAUUUUGCACAUAUUCAUUAUGUUUAAAUCACAUAGGCACCUUUCUAUUGGCAUCAAAAAAUUAGUAUCAACUUUCUAGAUUAAAAUGAAACUAAAAGUACAUAAAUUUCUAUCGGUGGGGAUCGAGUGAUUCUUUAAACCGAUUAUUACACAAGUUAACCACACUAAAAUUAACAUUGGUGAAUCGUGCCAUGAUUUUUUUUCUAGUGGAAAAUAGCCAAACCAAGCAACACAUAUGUGGCUAUCGUUACACAUGUGUAAAGGUAUUGCAUCACACUAUUGUCACCCAUGUAUUUGGACAAUACCGAGAGGAAAAACCACUUAUUUAUUGUAUUUUAUCAAGUUUGUCUUGCUUACGUAUAAAAUUAUAACCCAACAAAGUAAUCACUAAACGUCAAAACCAACUAGAUAUCAUGUCAUCUCUACCUUAUCUUACUAAUAUUCUUUUUGCAAAAUCCAAAAUUAAUCUUGCACAAGCACAAGGACUGAGAUGUGUAUAAAUAUCUCUUAAAUUAGUAGCUAAUAUAUCGCACAUAUUAUUUAGACCAACUAGCAACAUAGAAAGCACAAUAGUGUACCAACAAUGGCAGCCAAAAUAUUUUGCCUCCUUAUGCUCCUUGGUAUUUCUGCAAGUGCUGCUACGGCGACCAUUUUCCCGCAAUGCUCACAAGCUCCUAUAGCUUCCCUUCUUCCCCCGUACCUCUCACCAGCGGUGUCUUCGGUAUGUGAAAACCCAAUUCUUCAACCCUACAGGAUCCAACAGGCAAUCGCAGCUGGCAUCUUACCUUUAUCACCCUUGUUCCUCCAACAAUCAUCAGCCCUAUUACAGCAGUUACCUUUGGUGCAUUUAUUGGCACAAAACAUCAGGGCACAACAACUACAACAACUUGUGCUAGCAAACCUUGCUGCCUACUCUCAGCAACAGCAGUUUCUUCCAUUCAACCAACUAGCUGCAUUGAACUCUGCUUCUUAUUUGCAACAACAACAACUACCAUUCAGCCAGCUACCUGUUGCCUACCCCCAGCAAUUUCUUCCAUUCAACCAACUGGCAGCAUUGAACUCUCCUGCUUAUUUACAGCAGCAACAACUACUACCAUUCAGCCAGCUAGCUGGUGUGAGCCCUGCUACCUUCUUGACACAACCACAGUUGUUGCCGUUCUACCAGCACGCUGCGCCUAACGCUGGCACCCUCUUACAACUGCAACAAUUGCUGCCAUUCAACCAACUUGCUUUGACAAACCUAGCAGUGUUCUACCAACAACCCAUCAUUGGUGGUGCCCUCUUUUAGAUUUCUUAUGAGUUAUAGUUCAAUAAUAAAGUUUUUUGUCUGAUGUUUGUGGCUUCCCAGAAAUAAGAAAGUACAUUUCUAGAUUCUUAUGUGCUUCUAGUCUCCAAAUGUGGUUGAUAGUUAUUUUGCUCUAAGAUCAGCAGUACAACAACAACAACAACAACAACAACAACAACAACAAAGCCUUUUUGUCCCAAGCACGUUGGGGUAGGCUAGAGAUGAAACCCCGUAUGAAAACCUCAGAGCUCAACCCCCAAAGAACAGAAAAGGGAAACAAAGGCAAAGGAGAACCGAAAACAACGAAACGGGGAAACACAUAAAAGAGAUAAAACCCACAAGGACCAGCAAGAUCUAAAAUGGACACAAGAAAAGGUCAAACGAUUAAGGAGGAAAAGCGAAACUAUCAAUCAGGGUUCUGGCACGUGAAUUGCACACUUCCACCCCUUCCUAUCUGCGGCGAGCUCUUUGUCAAUAUUCCACUCCUUCAGGUCUCUCUUCACAGCCUCUGUCCACGUCAAAGUUGGUCGACCUCUACCUCUCUUCACAUUUUCGGGACGCCUAAUUAUUCCGAUAUGCACUGGUGCCUCUUCAGGUCUUCGUUGGAUAUGUCCAAACCAUCUCAAGCGAUGUUGCAUAAGCUUCUCCUCAAUUGGCGCCACUCCUACUCUCUCUCGUAUAUCAUCAUUCCGGACUCGAUCUCUCCUUGUGUGGCCACAUAUCCAGCGCAACAUACGCAUCUCUGCCACACUUAGUUGUUGGACAUGUCGUCUUUUAGUGGGCCAACAUUCUGCUCCAUACAACAUAGCCGGCCGGAUUGCUGUCCUGUAGAAUUUGCCUUUUAGUUUGCGUGGCACCCGGUGGUCGCAUAAGACACCCGCAGCUUGUCGCCACUUCAACCAUCCGGCUUUAAUUCUAUGACUGACAUCCUCAUCGAUGUCUCCCUCCUUUUGAAGCAUUGAUCCUAAGUAACGAAAAGUGUCUUUCUUGGGUACCACUUGCCCAUCAAGACUAACAUCGCCAUCCUCAUACCCCAUGGCACUGAAAUCACACUUCAUAUACUCUGUUUUAGACCUACUAAGCCUAAAACCUUUUGCUUCCAGCGUCUGCCUCCACAAUUCCAACUUUUGAGAAACACCACUCCUACUCUCCUCAAUAAGUACCACAUCAUCGGCAAAAAGCAUACACCACGGUAAAACUCCUUGUAUGUCCCUUGUGACCUCAUCUAUCACCAAAGCGAAAAGAUAAGGGCUCAAAGCCGACCCUUGAUGUAGUCCUAUGUUAAUUGGAAAGUCAUCGGUGUCUCCAUCACUUGUUCGGACACUUGUCACAACAUUAGUGUACAUAUCUUUAAUAAGAUUAAUGUACUUUGUUGCUACUUUGUGUUUUUCCAAGGCCCACCACAUUACACUCCUAGGUACUUUGUCAUAAGCCUUCUCCAAGUCUAUGAAGACCAUAUGCAGGUCUUUCUUUUGUUCUCUGAAUCUCUCCAUAAGUUGUCUUAGUAAGAAAAUGGCCUCCAUAGUUGAUCUCCCGGGCAUGAAACCAAACUGAUUUUGGGUCACGCUCGUCAUCUUUCGCAGGCGGUGUUCAAUGACUCUCUCCCAUAGCUUCAUUGUAUGGCUCAUGAGCUUAAUUCCACGGUAAUUAGUACAACUUUGAACAUCUCCUUUGUUCUUGAAGAUUGGUACUAAUGUACUCCGCCGCCACUCGUCGGGCAUUCUGUUUGCCCGAAAGAUGGUGUUGAAAAGCUUAGUCAGCCAUACUAUCGCUAUGUCUCCAAGACAUCUCCAUACCUCGAUAGGGAUACCAUCAGGGCCCAUCGCCUUUCCUACCUUCAUCCUUUUUAGCGCCUCCUUAACUUCAUAUUCUUGUAUCCUUCGUACAAAACCCCUGUUGUUGUCAUCGAAUGGUUCGUCCAAUUCUAUUGUAGCACUCUCAUUCCCUCCAUUGAACAAUUUGUUGAAGUACUCCUUCCAUCUGUUCUUGAUCUCUUCACUCUUCACUAAUAGUUGGUUUGCUUCGUCCUUGAUGCAUUUGACUUGGUUGACAUCCCUUGUCUUCCUUUCACGAAUCUUGGCCAUCCUAUAGAUAUCCUUUUCUCCCUGCUUUGUGUCCAGCCGUUGAUAAAGGUCGUCAUAGGCUUGACCCCGGGCUCUACUAACCGCUCGCUUUGCAGACUUCUUCGCUAUCCUGUACUUCUCUAUGUUUUCUGCACACUUGUCAUGAUGUAAGCGUUUGUAGCAAUCUUUCUUCUCCUUGAUAGCCUUUUGGACAUCUUCGUUCCACCACCAAGUGUCUUUAACUUCCCUUCUGUUCCCUUGACUCAACCCAAACUCUUCUGAAGCUAUCUUUCGGAUGCAUGUCGCCAUCUUCCUCCACAUGAUAUUUGCGUCUUCCUCUCCUGCCCAAGGGCCCUCCUCGAUAACUCUCUUCUUGAAAGUUUGGGCCACAUCCCCUUUAAGCUUCCACCACUUUGUUCUAGUGACCUUGUUAUGCUUAUUUCGUUGUAAACGAAUCUUAAAACGGAAGUCAGCAACGACAAGCUUAUGUUGGGUUACCACACACUCUCCAGGUAUAACCUUGCAAUCUAAGCAGGCAUGCCUGUCCUCUUUUCUCAAGAGGACGAAAUCAAUCUGGCUAGUGUGUUGGCCACUACUGAAGGUCACCAGGUGGGAUUGCCUCUUCUUAAAGAAAGUGUUUGCUAUAAACAUGUCAUAGGCUAGGGCAAAGUUCAGGAUUUCCUCUCCUUCUUGAUUCCUAGUCCCAAAGCCGAAGCCUCCAUGUACACCCUCGAAACUGGUGCUAGAUGUACCCACAUGGCCAUUGAGAUCUCCUCCUAUGAAGAGCUUCUCGCCAACUGGCACACUACUAACCAUGUCCUCUAGGCCUUCCCAGAACUCUCUCUUUGAGUUCUCAUUAAGGCCUACUUGAGGAGCAUACGCGCUGAUAACAUUGAGAACCAAGUCUCCAAUGACCAGCUUGACUAGGAUGAUUCUAUCUCCUACCCUCUUAACAUCUACUACCCCAUCUUUGAGGCUCUUGUCGAUCAAGACGCCUACUCCAUUCUUGUUUGUUGCAGUCCCCGUGUACCACAACUUGAAACCUGUACCUUUCACUUCCUUCGCCUUCUGUCCCUUCCACUUGGUCUCUUGAACGCAUAAAAUAUUUACCCGUCUCCUCACCGCAACGUCAACUAUUUCUCGUAACUUACCUGUUAAGGAACCUACGUUCCAACUGCCUACACGGACCCUAGUUGGCUCGACUAGCUUCCUUACCCUUCGCACCCGCCGAGGAAGAUGCAAAGACCCUUGCUCAUUUUUCACUACACCCGGGCGCCGAUGUAGCGCGCCACUAAGGAUGCGACGACCCGAUCCUUGCUCACUUAUCACCGGCUCCAGAUCAAGAGACAGCGCGUCACUUGAGGGGUGACGACCCGGCCCUUGCUCAUUUAACACCAUACCCGGGUUCCGAUAUGGCGCGUCGCUAAGAGGGUUACGCCCCAACGGUUUUCUUUGUGGUUUCAUCUCCAUAAGAUUUGGCUGGUUUUUUACGUUGGUUUGCCGGACCUAACACAACCCUCCUCCUUUACCGGGCUUGGGACCGGCUAUGUUGAAACGACUCAAGGAAGUCUUCCAAUCAACAUAGGCGGAGUUUAAGAUCAGCAGUAAUGAAGUAUAAAUCAUCGUUGUGGUGUGCUACUCGGUUAAUUGAGCAUUAACACACACAAACAUGACGAGGAUGGUAUAAUCUCCCAAAAUGUGUACUUUGUUAGGUGGGACCCUAUAGCCUUGCAGAAUGUGCUACGUUAGGCAUGCCGAUGGAAACGUGUGACGCAUACGUUUUGUGAACCUGUUGAUAUUAUAUGUGCUUUUAUAUUACCAUAUUUUAUUAAAACACUAAUAUUUAUUACUAGUAAGAUAUAACAUUCUAUCUAGCUUAAAAACUAACCAUAAAUAUUCCAUAAUAACUAGAUUUACCAAACUAAUAUACUAAAUAUACAUAAUAAAUACAAAAUUAACAAGACAAUAAUCAAUAUUUAUGAGCUUAAUAUAUUUAGACAUUAUGGUUGGUCGACGAUAAUCAUGCUAACUUUCCGUAAUUGCUUGAUUGUAAAUAUGCUUAGACUAAUGCCUCUUUGUUCUACAUGGCAAAUAGGGACCACUCUAGGAGACUAGGAUGUUGCUUGAGAUGAAAAUGUCAGAAUUGGUGUAGACUAAUUUCUAUCGGCCGCUGACUUCACUAUUGUAACCAUUAUAUCUUGGGUAAAUUAUAUACGAUUAUCCAGCCAAAGGGCCCAGAUGAUAAAAAACAAUUUUUAAUUGCUAUUUUAGGACAAAUGAAUUAGCAUGGUUCGAAGGAUUACGACCUUCCCCCCAUGACCUUUGUCAUACUGCUUUAGUCUAAUCGACAAAACCAAGAUUAGUUAUCAUCGAAGAAGUUCAUAAGCGAAGUUGUGACGAUGAAAGGAACAUGGUGGUAAUUGGACGAACGACGACACCUUUGUCUAAGAAUGGCAUCUAGAAGAAAUCUCAGACAAAAUAAGACAUGAAUGGCUUGUCAGUACAGCGCAAAUACUGAAACAUGCGCCCUUGAAUAUGAAACAUUUAUAUGUAAGAGGAAGGGAUAAAAAAACUAAUUACUCGUGCCUAAUGAUUUUAUUGGGAAUUUUAAGGCGAGACUUAUGGCAAAGGGUUAUACCAAAAAUAGGGGAGAGAUUAUUUCGAUACUUAUUCACUUGUUUCCCUUCAAAUGGCCAUACAUGUGUUACUUUUUUUGGCUGCCUCGCAUGGUCUUAUCGUUCAUCAGAUGAAUGUUAAGACUGCUUUCCCAAAUGGAGAGCUUAAGGAACAGAUCUACAUUGACUAGCCUAGUGGUUUUAUAUCAAAUGGUAAAGAGGAAAAGGUGUUUAAAAUAAUUGUUUGGUUUAAAACAAGCACCAAAGCACAUGAGAAAAUCGAUAAAGUUCUGACUUUGGCUAAAUUUGUUGUAAAUGAAGUUGAUAAAUGUGUCCAUUACCAGUUUGACAGGGGCGAAGGUAUGACCUUUUUAUAUGUGGACAAAAUAUUAACCUUUUGUAACGAUGUUAAUAUGAUAGAAGAAGUAAAGUAAUUUUUGUCUAGUAACUUAGAAAUAAACAAUCUGGGAGAGGCUAAUGUUGUUCUUAACAAAGAGAUGUUGAGAGAAGGAGGAAAUAGAGGGUUACUCUUGUGCAAUCCUAUUAGGUUGAAAAGUCGCUGAGUCGCUUUGGAUAUAGUGAUUACACGUCUGGUCCAACAACUUAUGACCCAAGUGUGUUAUUAAGGAAAAAUCAUAUAAUUGCAUAUGAUCAAUUGAGAUAUUGUCAAAUCAUGGUCUUCUCAUAUAUUUGGCAAGCCCAACGAUGUCUCAUAUCUGAUUUGUUAUGAGCAAACUCAGUUGCCUUGUCUCCAAUCUAGGGGAGGAUCAUGACAUGCCCUAGAGAGGGUAUUGCGCUUUCUCAAAGGGAUAUGAGUAAUGUCAUUUACUAUACUAGGCACCUAAGAGUACCAGAGUGUUAUAGUCAUGCAAAUAGGAUAUCUGAUGUUGAUUAGAUUUAUGCCACAAGUAGACUUGUGUGCUUCCUUGGAGGUGUGAUUGUUUCAUGGAAGUCUUGUAAGUAGACCAUCUUAACAAGGUCAACAAUAGAAGUAGAACUCACAACAUUAUAUACUACCAAAGUUGAAGUUGAUUGGCUCCGUGAACUCCUUACGGAUUUACCAGUAGUUGAAAAACCAAUACUGGUUAUCUCUAUGAGCUACAAUAAUCAAACAUUUGUAAUCGAAGUAAACAGUUCUAAAGUUAACAUGAUGUCUACAAAGCAUGUAAAAAUGGUUGAAACUGUUAAAACACUAAGAAACUCUAGAUUAAUUAUGUUGGACUAUAUCCAUACAUCGAAUUUGGUAUGCCAGUUUACAGAAGAUUUGUCACAUAAUAUGAUUCAAGGUGCAUCGAGGAAUAUGGGCUUGAGACCCACUUAAUGUCAAUCCAUAGUGGUAGCAGUUUCUAUGUGAUUGGAGAUCCCAUAAAGUAGAAUGGUGAAACAAGCUAGAGAAUGACUGAUGGAGAGACUCCUUAAAUAAAAUCUUGAUAAUUUGAGAUGCACAUUUCUCAUUUGAUGUAUUGUAGGCGAACUAAAAUCUUAAUAUGAUUUGAGUGACUUAUCUAAGCAGGGAUGUUAUCUUACAGAACAUCCUAGAAAGAACACACCUAUAUGAGUUUGCAUGUUAGUCAUAGUCUAUCAUGUGUGGUAAUCUUUAUAUACUCAUGAAAGGCUUGAAGUUUGACUUAUAUGCUUCAAACCAAGGGGGUGCUUGUAACAGUCUAGUACAAGAUAAGAACAUUGGUAAAACUCACUUAACGCAAAAUUGUCAAUUUAAGGCAUAGUUCAUUGUUUAGAUGUGAAUGUGUAAUCCCUGUUCUAGAUGGAUGGUCAACUUAACAGCCUCCACCAAAACCCUGAUAUCUCAAAGAGUAGUGGAUUUGAGUUUGUCUAAUAUGUGGUUUAGAUUUUGGUGGGGAAUUUUAAUAUUUUAUGGGCUUGGCCCAUUUAAGGUAUUUAAUACUUUCAAAAGACAAGAUUAAACAUGUGUGAAUAGUGUCAUGAUUUUUUUCUAGUGCAAAAUAGCCCAACAAAUCAACACAUAUGUGGCUAUCAUUACACAUGUGUAAAGGUAAUGCAUCACACCAUUGUCACCCAUGUAUUUAGAAAAUACCAAGAAGAAAAACAACUUGUUUAUUGUAUUUUAUGGAGAUUAUCUUGCUUACAUAUAAUUAUAACCCAACAAAGUGGUCACUAAAUGUCAAAACCAACUAGGUACCAGGUCAUCUCUAGCUUAUCUUGCUAAUGAUAUUUUUGCAAAAUCCAAAAUUAAUCUUGCACAAGCACAAGGACUGAGAUGUGUAUAAAAAUCUCUUAGAUUAGUAGGUAAUCCAUCACACAAAGCGCAAUAGUGUAGCAAAACUGGCAGUCAAAAUAUUUUGCCUCCUUAUGCUCCUUGCUCUUUCUGCAAGUGCUGCUAACGCGACCAAUUUUCUGCAAUGCUCACAAGAUCCAAUUGCUUCCCUUCUUCCCUCAUACCUCUCACCAGCGACAUCUUCAGUAUGUGAAAACCCAAUUCUUCAACCCUAUAGGAUCCAACAGGCAAUCACAGCAAGCAUCUUACCUUUAUCACCCUUGUUCCUCCAACAACCGCCAGCCCUGUUACAACAAUUACCUUUGGUGCAUUUGUUGGAACAAAGCAUCAAGGCACAACAACUACAACAACCUGUGCUGACAAACCUUGUUGCCUACUCUCAGCAACAAUAGUUUCUUCCAUUCAACCAACUGGCUGCACUGAACUCUGCUGCUUAUUUGCAACAACAACAACAACUUCCAUUCACCCAGCUAGCUGCUGCCUACCCCCAACAAUUUCUUCCAUUCGACUAACUGGCUGCAUUGAACUCUGUUGCUUAUUUACAACAGCAACAACUAAUACCAUGAAACCAGCUAGCUGUUGCGAGCCCUGCUACCUUCUUGACACAACCACAGUUGAUGUCGUUCUACCUGCAAGCUGUGGCUAACGUCGGCACCCUCUUACAACUACAACAAUUGUUGCCAUUCAUCCAACUUGCUUUGACAAACCCAAUAGUGUUCUACCAACAACCCAUCAUUGGUGGCGCCCUCUUUUAUAUUUCUUAUGGGUUAUAGUUCAAUAAUGAAGUUUUUGGCUGAUGUUUGUGGCUUCCCAGAAAUAAGAAAGUAUAUUUCUAGAUUCUUAUGUGCUACUAGUCUCCAAAUGUGGUUGAUAAUUAUGUUGCUCUAAGAACGGGAGUAAUGAGGUAUAAAUCAUUGUUGAGGUGUGAUACUCGGGUAGUUGAGCAUUAGCACGCACAAAUAUGAUGAGGACGGUAUAAUCUCCAAAAAUAUGUACUUUGUUAGGUGGGACCCUAUAGCCAUGCAGAAUGUGCUCUGUUAGACACGUCGAUGGAAACGUGUCACACAUACGUUUUGUGAACCUAUUGAUAUUGUAUGUGCUUUUAGUUGUGUGGUGCUAUAGAUAUGAGGGCUUGUUUCACGUAAUGAGCUAGGGUAGAAAAAUAAUUAUUUGCCUUGGAUUGUUAUGGAAGAACAUACCAAUUGUGACUGCCAUCUCAAUCUAGCUAACAUCUAAGUGACCUAAAAGGAGAGCAUAAGGAACUGAUCUACAAUGACUAGCCUAGUGGUUUUAUAGGAAAUGGCAAAGAGGAAAAUGUGUUUAAGUUAUUACAAUUGUAUGGUUUAAAACAAGCACCUAAGCACAUGAGAAAUUUUAUGAAGUUCUGACUUUGGCUAAAUUUGUUGUAAAUGAAGCUGAUAAAUGUGUCUAUUGCUAGUUUGAGAGGAGGGAUGGCAUGACCUGUUUUUUAUAUUUGGAUGAUAUAUUAAUCUUUUGUAAUGAUGUUAAUAUUAUCGAGGAAGUAAAAUACUCUUUGUGUGGUAACUUUGAAAUAAAUGAUUUUGGAGAGGCUAAUGUUGUUCUUAACAUAAAGAUGUUGGGAGAAGGAGGAAAUAGGGGGUAACUCUUGUGAAUCCUAUUAGGUUGAAAAGACAUUUAGUUGUUUUGGAUAUAGUAACUACACAUCUGGUCAAAUUACUUAUGACACAAGCGUGUUGUUAAGGAAAAUGAUAUAAUCGCAUAGAAUCAAAUGAGAUACUAUCAAAUCAUGGUCUUCUCGUGUAUUUGGCUAAUCCAACGAGGCCUAAUAUCUCAUUGCUAUGAUUAAACUUAGUCGAUUUGUAUACAAUGUAGGGGAUGAUCAUGGCAAGCCCUAGAGAGGGUAUUGCGCUACCUAAAAGGGACUAUGAGUAAUGUAAUUUACUAUACCAGGCACCUAAGGGUACCAGAGUGUUACAAUGAUGCAAACAAGAUAUCUGAUGGUGACGAGAUUUAUGCCACAAGUGGAUAUGUGUGCUUGCUUGGAGGUGUGAUAGUUUCAUGGAAGUCUUGUAAGUAUACCAUCUUAACAAGAUCAACAAAACAAGUAGAACUGGCAACAUAAGAUACUACCAUAGUUGAAGCUAAGUGGCUUCUUGAACUCCUUAUGGAUUUACCAGUAGUUGAAAACUAAUAGUGGUUAUCUCUAUGAUCUAUGAUAAUCAAAUAGUCGUAAUCAAAGUGAACAGUUCUAAGGAUAACAUGAAUUCUACAAAGCAUGUCAAAAAGCGAUUGAAACUAUUAGAACACUAAGAAUCUCUAGAGUAAUUGUGUUGGACUAUGUCCAUACAUCUAAGAAUUUGGUAGGUCGAUUUAGAGAAGGUUUGUCCAUAAUGUGAUAGAUGGUGCAUCGUGUAAGAUGGGCUUGAGACCCUCUUAAUGCCAUUCCUUAGUGGUAGCAUGUUCUAUGUGAUUGGAGAUCUCGUGAAGUAGAAUGGUGAAACAAGAUAGAGAAUGACUGAUGGAGAGACUCCUUAAAUAAAAUCUAGGUAAUUUGAUAUGCAUAUUUCUCCUUUGAUGUAUCGUAGGCUAACUAAAAUCUUAAUAUGAUCGGAGUGAUUUAUCUAAGCAGGGAUGUUAUCUUAUAGAACAUCCUAGAAGGAACACACCUAUAUGAGUUUGACUGCUAUUCAUAGUCUAUGAUAUUUGGGAAAUCUUUAUAUACACCUGAAAGGCCUAGAAAUGUGACUUCUAUGCUUCAAACCAAGGGGAUGCUUGUAACAAUCUAGUAUCAGAUAAGAACUUUGGUGAAACUCACUUCAUGCAAAACCGUUAAUUCAAAGCAUAGUCCAUUGUUCAGAUGUGAAUGUAUAACCCAUGUUCUAGAUGGAUGGUCAACUUAAUAGCCUCCACCAAGACCAUGAUAUAUCAAAGAGUAGUGGAUUUGAGUUUGUCCAAUAUGUGGUUUAGAUUUUGGUGGGGAAUGUUAAUAUUUUAUUGGCUUGACCCAUUUAAAGUGUUUAAUAAUUUUGAAAGACAAGAUUAAACAAAC